UACGUAGGGUGCGAGCGUUAAUCGGAAUUACUGGGCGUAAAGUGUGCGCAGGCGGCCGCGCAAGUCGAGUGUGAAAUCCCCGAGCUUAACUUGGGAAUUGCGCUCGAAACUACGUGGCUGGAGUGUGGCAGAGGAAGGUGGAAUUCCACGUGUAGCGGUGAAAUGCGUAGAGAUGUGGAGGAACACCGAUGGCGAAGGCAGCCUUCUGGGCCAACACUGACGCUCAUGCACGAAAGCGUGGGGAGC
rnacentral:rRNA from 1 species